rnacentral:rRNA from 1 species
UACGGAGGGUGCAAGCGUUAUCCGGAUUCACUGGGUUUAAAGGGUGCGUAGGCGGGUUGGUAAGUCCGUGGUGAAAUCUCCGAGUUUAACUCGGAAACUGCCGUGGAUACUAUCAAUCUUGAAUAUCGUGGAGGUAAGCGGAAUAUGUCAUGUAGCGGUGAAAUGCUUAGAUAUGACAUAGAACACCAAUUGCGUAGGCAGCUUACUACACGAUCAUUGACGCUGAGGCACGAAAGCGUGGGGAGCAAACAGG